rnacentral:rRNA from 1 species
UACGAAAGGAGCAAGUGUUAUUCAGAUUAACUGGGCGUAAAGGGCACGUAGGUGGUUUGUUUAUGUGUAUUAUUAAAUUAUAAAGCAUAACUUUAUAAUGUAGUAUAAACAGCAAAACUAGAGGUAGGUAGGGGAGAUCGGAAUUCCUGGUGUAGCGGUGAAAUGCGCAGAUAUCAGGAGGAACACCGAUGGCGAAGGCAGCUCGCUGGGACGGUACUGACGCUGAGACGCGAAAGCGUGGGGAGCAAACAGG